UGGGGAAUAUUGCACAAUGGGCGCAAGCCUGAUGCAGCCAUGCCGCGUGUAUGAAGAAGGCCUUCGGGUUGUAAAGUACUUUCAGUCGGGAGGAAGGUGGUAAGGUUAAUAACCUUAUCAAUUGACGUUACCGACAGAAGAAGCACCGGCUAACUCCGUGCCAGCAGCCGCGGUAAUACGGAGGGUGCAAGCGUUAAUCGGAAUUACUGGGCGUAAAGCGAACGCAGGCGGUUGAUUGAGUCAGAUGUGAAAUCCCCGGGCUUAACCCGGGAAUUGCAUCUGAUACUGGUCAGCUAGAGUCUUGUAGAGGGGGGUAGAAUUCCAUGUGUAGCGGUGAAAUGCGUAGAGAUGUGGAGGAAUACCGGUGGCGAAGGCGGCCCCCUGGACAAAGACUGACGCUCAGGUGCGAAAGCGUGGGGAGCAAACAGG
rnacentral:rRNA from 1 species